AUUGAACGCUGGCGGCAGGCCUAACACAUGCAAGUCGAGCGAGCGGCGGAGGGGUGAGUAAUGUAUGGGGACUGCCUGAUAGAGGGGGAUAACUACUGGAAAAGGUGGCUAAUACCGCAUACUAUCGGAUAACCCAUAUGGGAUUAGCUAGUAGGUGUGGUAAAGGCUCACGUAGGCGACGAUCCCUAGCUUGGCUGAGAGGAUGAGCAGCCAACCUGGGACUGAGACACGGCCCAGACUCCUACGGAGGCAGCAGUGGGGAAUAUUGGACAAUGGGCGCAAGCCUGAUGCAGCCAUGCCGCGUGUAUGAAGAAGGCCUUAGGGUUGUAAAGUACUUUCAGCGGGGAGGCGUUACCCGCAGAAGAAGCACCGGCUAACUCCGUGCCAGCAGCCGCGGUAAUUC
rnacentral:rRNA from 1 species